UAAGGAAUAUUGCUCAAUGGGAGAAAUCCUGAAGCAGCAACGCCGCGUGGAGGAUGAAGGGUCUAUGACUUGUAAACUCCUGUAAAGAAGGAAAAAAUUCCCAUUAGAUGGGAGAUGAUGGUACUUCUGGAGUAAGCCCCGGCUAACUACGUGCCAGCAGCCGCGGUAAUACGUAGGGGGCAAGCGUUGUCCGGAUUUACUGGGUGUAAAGGGUGCUCAGGCGGAUUUGUAAGUCAGAGGUGAAAUCUCACAGCUUAACUGUGAAACUGCCUUUGAUACUGCAAGCCUAGAGUAUGGAAGAGAGUGAUGGAAUAUCUGGUGUAGCAGUGAAAUGCGUAGAUAUCAGAUAGAACACCUAGGGCGAAGGCAGUCACUUGGUCCAUUACUGACGCUAAAGCACGAAAGCGUGGGUAGCAAACA
rnacentral:rRNA from 1 species